AGUGACGUAGUCUACGCCCAUUAGAUAAAAGGCUCAGUCAGCGAUACUGCACUGUACUGCCAUAUGUACUCUGUUAUUGUUAUUGUUUAACACUCAGCUCUAUCUGUCUCAGAGAUAUUGGCUCCACGGACACACACACCUGUGGGAACCGGGUCUCAAAUCAGGUUCAAAUAAACUCAAAUCAUAUUCAAUCACUAUGGCAAUCCAACGAGUGUCUGCAACCCAUGGCAAUUUAGUGAAAGACGUCUACAACAAGGAAGGCUGUAAUUUGCUGCAAAAAGCUUUGGGAAUGACGAAGCCUUGUGUGAAGCCUGUAGCCUUGGAGAACGCG
rnacentral:lncRNA from 1 species